rnacentral:rRNA from 1 species
UACAGAGGUCUCAAGCGUUGUUCGGAUUCAUUGGGCGUAAAGGGUGCGUAGGCGGCGCGGUAAGUCGGGUGUGAAAUCUCGGGGCUUAACUCCGAAACUGCAUUCGAUACUACCGUGCUUGAGGACUGGAGAGGAGACUGGAAUUUACGGUGUAGCGGUGAAAUGCGUAGAUAUCGUAAGGAAGACCAGUGGCGAAGGCGGGUCUCUGGACAGUUCCUGACGCU